GAUGAACGCUGGCGGCGUGCCUAAUACAUGCCAGUCGAGCGAACGGACGAGAAGCUUGCUUCUCUGAUGUUAGCGGCGGACGGGUGAGUAACACGUGGAUAACCUACCUAUAAGACUGGGAUAACUUCGGGAAACCGGAGCUAAUACCGGAUGAUAUUUUGAACCGCAUGGUUCAAAAGUGAAAGACGGUCUUGCUGUCACUUAUAGAUGGAUCCGCGCUGCAUUAGCUAGUUGGUAAGGUAACGGCUUACCAAGGCAACGAUGCAUAGCCGACCUGAGAGUGUGAUCGGCCACACUGGAACUGAGACACGGUCCAGACUCCUACGGGAGGCAGCAGUAGGGAAUCUUCCGCAAUGGGCGAAAGCCUGACGGAGCAACGCCGCGUGAGUGAUGAAGGUCUUCGGUUCGUAAAACUCUGUUAUUAGGGAAGAACAUAUGUGUAAGUAACUGUGCACAUCUUGACGGUACCUAAUCAGAAAGCCACGGCUAACUACGUG
rnacentral:rRNA from 1 species